rnacentral:lncRNA from 1 species
AUGUGGGAAUUUGGGCAGCAGAUAGUAGGUUUAGGGAGUUCAAUUAGAAUUAGGGUUUGCUUUAGGUGAAUAAAAAGGGCAGCGUGUAACAGAAGGUUUUUUUGAUGCGAAUUAAUGAAAUUUUCUUCUUCCUCAUCAACUCCUAAUUUCUCUUAAUCUUUCUUCUUCUUCUUAAUUUCCCCAUCCAUCUCCUUCCCUCUGUCUUCCCCCCUCUAUUCUCUCUUCAUCUUCUUUAUCGGAAUAGCUCAAUUCUGAUCUGAUUAAUCCGAGUCAGGCAGUUACGGGAACCAUCAUCCUCGACGCCGUCCUUCGUCUCAGCGAGAUUUCAUCAUCGACGGGUUGCGCCGAGUCAGGUAUGUAACAAUUGGUAUCAGAGCGGUACGAUCUCAGGGCGUUGUGUGGUGAAUUCGCUUCCUAACUCCAAUCAAGUAUUGUCGAGUUUAAUAGCGAGGGGAUUUCUGCGCUGCCAAAUCUGAUACGAGAUCGGGUUUGGACAAAAGAAACCACCACAGUAACAUCCCUGAACUGUAUCACGCUCUGACCGCUUUUAAUCAUCCUCGGAUAUUAGCAAGAUUGGGGGCAAACGAGGCAACAAGUUUCGAUUUAACCCAAAAGAAUAUCUGGAUGAGAUAGAGAUGGCUGAGGGGACUAGGUUGAGAGACCUGAGUGAUCAUAUACGUACGCUAGAAGAGCAGUUCCAAAAAUUGGGAGCUGAGCAUCAAGCCGAGAUUGAGGUAAUCAACCAUCAGAUUGCCGAAGUCAAGGAGUCCGGGCAGAGGCAAUAUGAAGCGAUACAGGUCGAGGCAAAUAAAAGGCACGAGGAGCUGCUCAAGCUGUUCGCAGCUCAGCCACCUCCACUCAAGAACCAGGCACCGGUAAGCCCACUGGAAGGGAAGCCUCCACAUGCGGCAACCCUGGGAUCAGUAGAACACCAUUAAUUACCAGAGCAGAUAAAGGCAAAGGGAUUCUACCAACGCCACCAAGACAAACAGAGGAGGAAGAGAGUCAGAGCUCACCAUGGGUCAACAAGCAUAAUCAUUAUCAGUUACCUUACUCGAAGCUGGAUUUCCCCUUUUUUAACGGAGACGACCCUCGAAGUUGGAUCGAGAAUUGCGAGCAAUAUUUUGAAUUAUAUCAAAUACCCCAGCAUCAGUGGUUAAGUGUGGCAACCCUACACUUGAUCGGCAAGGCAAGGACAUGGAAACAAGGGUAUUUUAUCAACAAACAACUCGUUUCUUGGGACGAGUUCACUAAGGCCAUAUGUAGAAAAUUUUCGCAAGCGGGCGAGAGGUAUUUAAUUCGAGAAUUUAGUAACUUGAAGCAUACGGGGACUUGUGAAAAGUACCAAGAAAGGUUCGAGGAGUUGAGGUUCCAACUGCUCCAUUACAAUCCUCAUUUAUCGGAAGAAUAUUUUAUUGCUUGCUAUAUUAAUGGACUGAAGAAGAGUUAGUUCCGUUUCUCGACAUUGCUCACCCGAACACACUAGAGGAAGCAUAUGAGCAACCGCAGUUACAUGAGAAGGCCAUUGCUGUGAUCAAUCGGAAGAAUAGAUAUAUUCCCAAGACCUAUCAAUCCAACUCGCUGUAUAAGAGUUCGGAGGGGAGCAAGUAGCCAACCCAAAGUCAGAACAAGACUCCGGUAAAUCCCUAUCCGAUCAACAAAUAAUUAAUUGAACAACGUCGAGCCGCUGGGUUAUGCUUUCGGUGCGGCGACAAAUACCAUCCGGGACACGUGUGUUCCAACAAAUCGUUAAACAUCCUACAAGCUACUAACAAUAUUAUGGAGGUUUAUGAUGAAGAAUGUUUACAAACAGGACAAAGCGAAGGGGCAGCCAAUGGAAGAGAAGGCAAGGAAACUGAAAUCAUACCUGGGGAAGAGGAGCAGCAGGAAAUAGAGGUAUCAGUGCGUGCCUUAAGUGGAGAAAUACCCCAAGAGACCAUUAAGAUAAGGGGUGAAACCAACAAUCGGACUCUUACCAUCUUGAUAGACACAGGAAGCACUCACAGUUUCAUCGACCUGCUAGCAGCCCAGUGUAACGCACUGGACCUUGCAAAUUGUAGGGUUCGAGUGAUUGAGUGUAUUCUGAACUUUUCCAGACUUUCUGGUAGGUCGUUGACUGUGUUCCGACCUAUGGUUCGAGUCCCGAGAAUUGUGGUUUAAAACCUUGCAUCAAAAUCUAAAAAGUUGGAUUUUUGGUCAGCUCUCGGAUAGCCUUCAGCAGGCCGUGUACCGGUACGGGUUCGCUUGCUGUACCGGUACGGGUUCGCUUGCUGUACCGGUACGAGGUUGAUGGCUGUACCGGUACGGGCCCGCGUACCGGUAAACAGGCAGUUUUUCGGCCAAACCCGAGGCUCGGGUUUGCGUUUUCGUGGGUUGUGUACCGGUACACAAACCGGUGUACCGGUACGUAGUGCAGUUUGGGGCUGUUUCGUGGAGGGGUGUUUUUGCAAUUGUUACAACACCUUUAUAUACCACCCCAGCCCCCUUGGCUGCUCUCCUUGAGCUCCAAACAGAGAGAAACAAGGUGAGUCUUCCCCUCUUGGUUUGAUCUCCAUUUUUUGGUGAUUUUUAUGGGUUUUGAUCUUUUUCCCUUCUCUCCUUCUUGCUUUUGUGGGUUUUUUCACCAUUGGAGAAGCUUGGGAUCUUGGUUGGAGCUUGUUUGGAGAUCAACCUUCAACCCUAGAGGACUUGGAGCUUGGUUUUGAGCAUCUUGUGAGGUUAGUAAACUUAAUCUCCCAUUUGGAUUAAGUUUUGAAGGUUUCUUUUGAAUGAAACCCUAGAUUUUGGAUUCUAGGGCUAGAAUUGGGGAUUUUUGAUUUGUAGCUUCUAGAACCAAAUUGAUUGGUUUAGAACUUUGAUUUAGGUUGGAUUUGAAGGAAUCUAACUCCCUUUUGGAGUUCGUGGGGGAUUCCUUAGCGUUCGGUGAGUUUUCUCCAACCUAGCUAGAGAAGCUUAAUGUUUGAGCUUAGCUUUGUUCGUAAGCCUUGUUUGACACUUGUUCCUACAUCCCUAGGGUACUAGGAGACUAGAAGACACCCUCGUUGGAGCAAACGAGGAGUUCCGUUGUCAACUGUGGGUUUGGCUUCUUUGACAUAGGGGGAAAAUGCCCCCUACGUGGUUAAACGUUUUCGUAUACCAUAAAUGCAUGCAUAUUUAUGUUGAGUAGAAUUAUUAUGAAUUUUUGGAUGCUUAAAACGCCACCAUUAUGUGUAAUGAAAAUUUCACUCUAUGUAGUAGAGCCAUGUGAAUGACAUACAUGCAUGAGCUAUGUAAUCUGUAAUUGCAACUUGGAAAUAUGUCUCUUAUGUGGGGAAAUGACUAGAAUCAUGCAAUCUUAAGCAUAAUUGCCAUGUUAUGACUUAGUGAGCAAAAGUGUCAUAAAGGGGAACUUGAACUAGAAAACGGUUGAAACUGCAACUUAGAGACAUAAUGUUAAGCCAUUGUACAUCUGCUAUAUACUCCAUGUAGAGACAUGAUGACAUAGAGAUAGACCUUUGGGACAUUCGAUACAUUCCAUGUUAUUAGACAUGAGAACUGGGUACUUGUGACAGGACAUAUGACUACUUGCUAUUGUGCUCAUUCGCACAUGCUUGUGAGGGUCGCUCCCUACAAGUCGGCACUCCGGAGAUGACCAUCGCGAUUUAUAUUCGCCGUGCGGGAUUCGGCGCCAAAGUGGAUUGCCGUGAGCCAGGCUCAUUCCUAGGGUGGGGAUGAUGACUACCACGGGGCCACUAGGCUCGGCAUCGGCCAGACAGCCUACGGGUGGGUCUCAGGGCCAUAGACAGUCUUCGGGUGGGUCUCUUCGGAUUUGACUUUGAGUAUCCACUAUGACAUGUGGACAGAUGAUGACUUAGUAUAUUGACUGGACAUCGACUAGAAUAGUAAACAACGACAUCUUUACUAAUUGCAUUGAGGACAUCGCAUUGGUUGCAUACCUAUGGGUAUUCAUGUAUACACAUCCAUGUACAUUUAUGUUAUAGUUGCUUACUAUUAUGCCUAUCAUGCUAAGUAGAGACAUCUGGUUAUAGUAAGUUAUACUUUUACUUACCUUUCGCUUUAUUGCUUUUAUAGCUACUUACCACUUUCUUUGUAGCUUUGGGCCUUGUGGUGCAUUCACUGAAGUCAGUAAUUGCCCACUGGGAACUAUUUUUAAUAGUUCUCACGCCUUCUUUUUUGUGGUUUCUUUCAGAGCCUUCUGCACCGGCGGAGGCACGGGAUCGCGGCAAGGGGAUCGCAUAACUAGCUAGCGAGGAGCGGUUCUUUGCCUAGAUGGUUUGCUUUUUCUUUUUGUAGUUGAGAGAGUGAGAGAUUUUGUAUCCAUGUAUAGAGACCACCUAUGUAUCUACUUUUAGCACUUGUAUUUGGAAUUUUCUUUGUAUUACUUUAUGCUUUUAUUAGUGGAUUCCAGCUUUAUGCUCUUUUCUCUAUUGUAGAACUUAGUAUUAUAUCAUGCUCUGAUACUCCUAGUUGUCUUUUAUUACCGCUUUAUUUAUUGUUGUUUUUAGACGCCUUAUAUGUUUUAGACGUAUGGCGGGUCUGGGCACGCGCUGGGCGGGCUUCCGCUGGGUCCCGGGGCGUGACACCCAGGAGGUAGGAGCACGGAUGGAAGUAGCUCUACCCCUGAUAGUGACAGUAGCAAACGGGCACAAGGUUUUGAGCAAAUUAAGAUGCCCUGGAUUCACUUGGACUAUGCAGGGACAAACUUUUCGAACGGACUUGAGAGUGAUCAGGAUCGAAGGCUCUAACAUGGUACUUGGAAUUGAUUGGUUAAAGUCUUAUGGAGUGGUGACUUUCGAUUUCGUAUCCAACUCGGUGGCGAUCAGUAAAGAUGGACAGAAGUUAGAGCUAAAGGGGAUUGCGGAAGGGGCUAGAUUAAGUCUAAUAUCUGCAGCUCAGUGGAGGCAAGAAGCAGAGAAAGGAGAAUGUUAUCUCCGCAGGCACCAAUCAACACCAAAAGAUAAUGAACAGGAUGCUGACCUACUUCCGGAGAUCCAAAGGGUGCUGGAUAAAUUUCAGGAUGUGUUCGAGGAGCCAAGGGAGUUACCUCCAAUCCGCAUUCAAGACCAUAAAAUUCCUCUACAGUCUAACACAGCUCCGAUUAACGUUAGGCCCUAUCGGUACUCGCAUGAUCAAAAAGAGGAGAUCGAAAAACAAAUAAAGGAGUUAUUGAGCCACAAGAUUAUUCAGCGGAGCAAUAGUCCUUUCGCCUCACCCGCUUUAUUGGUUAAGAAAAAAGAUGGGAGUUGGAGAAUGUGUAUAGAUUAUCGCCAGCUUAACAAAUGCACGGUGAAGGACAAAUUCCUUAUACCAAUUAUAGAUGACUUGCUUGAUGAAUUGGGCGGAUCGAAGUAUUUUUCCAAGAUAGAUCUCAGAUCGGCAUAUCAUCAGAUCCGGAUGAAUCCGGGGGACAUUCAUAAAACGGCAUUCCGGACGCAUCAAGGGCAUUAUGAGUUUCGAGUCAUGCCGUCCGGCCUAACGAACGCACCCGCGACGUUUCAAGCCGUAAUGAACUAUACCUUCGAGUCAUACUUGAGGAAAUUCAUCCUGGUUUUCUUUGAUGACAUUCUAAUCUACAGUAAGAACAUUGAGGAUCAUGAACAACAUCUGCGCAUCGCUUUGGAAGAAUUGAGAAAGAAUAAAUUUUACGCCAAACGAAGUAAGUGCUAUUUUGGGCAGAACCAGGUGGAGUAUUUAAGUCACAUAAUAUCUGACGAAGGGGUAGCCACCGAUCCAUCCAAAAUUGAAGCGAUGAUUAAUUGGCCGGUACCAAAAUCUAUGAAGGAAUUGCGUGGAUUCUUUGGACUUACCGGAUAUUAUCGAAAAUGCAUAAAGGGAUAUGGAAAGAUUACCAAGCCUUUGACUGAGUUGUUGAGAAAGGAUCAGUUCGACUAGAAGGAAGAAGCACAAGUAGCUUUUGAAGAAUUAAAGUUGGCUAUGACAAUGGCUCCAGUACUCGCUAUGCCUAACUUUGGUGAACCCUUCACGAUAGAAGCGGAUGCUUGCGGCAUAGGGAUAGGGGCAGUACUGUCCCAAGGAGGAAGACCCAUUGCCUAUUUGAGCAAGGCUAUUAGCGGGAAGCACCUGGGAUUAUCAACUUACGAAAAAGAGUUCUUAGCGAUACUCAUGGCGGUUCAAAAGUGGAAGCAUUAUUUAGGUACAGGUACAUUUGUGAUUAAAACAGAUCAUGAAAGCCUAAAACACCUACUCGAGCAAAGGAUAUCCACCCCGAUGCAGCAGAAGGGCAUGCUUAAGAUGAUGGGGCUUAAUUACACGAUUCAGUAUAGGAGGGGUAGAGAAAAUGCGGCAGCCGAUGCACUAUCCAGAAGAGAAGAAGGGGGAGUUGUAUUGGCAAUCUCAGCGGCAGUACCAACUUGGGUACGACAGGUGGCGGAAAGUUACAAGGGGGAUCCAUAUUGUGAGGGGAUAAUAAAAGAGCUAACGUUGCGGCCAGACACCCCAGGAUAUUACUCCUAUGGCAAUGAGUUGCUACGCUACAAAGGGAGGCUCUAUGUUGGGCAGACUGGACCUAUACGGAAGAAAGUUUUAGAUCAAAUGCAUAAUUCUGCCUUGGGAGGCCACUCCAGAAUCCAGAACACCUAUAGGAGAGUUAAGCAACAUUUUUUUUGGCAAGGAUUAAAAAAGGAUGUGGAAGAUUGGGUCAAGGGGUGCACUGUUUGUGCUCAGAACAAAGUGGAUGGAACACCAUACAGUGGAUUGUUGCAGCCGUUGCCUAUUCCUCACCAAAUUUGGGAGGACGUAAGUUUGGAUUUCAUUGAAUCAUUACCUAAGUCAGAGGGGCGCGAUACAAUAAUGGUUGUAGUUGACCGGCUCACCAAAUAUGCUCAUUUCAUAUCUCUUAAACAUCCCUUUUCAGCAUCGGAUGUUGCUAAGGCCUUUAUGGGAACCAUCUAUAAACUGCACGAUUGUCCCAAGAGUAUCGUUUCCGAUAGAGACAAGAUAUUCGUGAGUCAGUUUUGGAAGAAGCUUUUCCAAUCCAUAGGAACCAAACUGCACAUGAGUUCGGCGUAUCAUCCGGAAACUGACGGGCAAACGGAGAGGGUCAACAGGUGCUUGGAAACCUAUUUGAGGUGCUUAUGUUUUCAGCACCCAAAAAAGUGGCAUUCUUGGUUAGCGCUAGCCGAAUGGUAGUAUAAUACAAACUUACACUCGUCAUUGGGAAUAACCCCAUACGAGGCGUUAUAUGGGCAACCUCCGCCAAAUUACCUGGUGGCCGCUGUGGAUACAGCUACCUCGCAGGAGUUUAAAGGGUGGGCUACAGAGAGAAAGAAGCUGACUAGAGAAUUAAGGGAUCGAUUGCAAAUAGCACAGAGCAGGAUGAAGCAACAGGCAGACAAGCAUAGGGUGGAGAAGGAGUACUCGGUGGGAGAUUGGGUUUACCUUAAACUACAGCCCUAUCGGCAAACCACGGUGGUGAUAAGGAAAAAUAUUAAGCUUUCUUCAUGAUUUUUUGGUCCCUUUAAGAUACUGGAGCGUAUCGGGCCAGUCGCGUAUAGGCUAGAGUUACCAGAAGGGUCAAGGAUUGACCCGGUGUUCCAUGUUUCUCUGUUGAAGAAGAGUCCCCCAUCUUCAAUUCAGGCAUCUCUGACGGCACCAUCUAUCGGGGAAGAGGAUAAGUUGCGGGUCGAACCAGAGGAAAUACUUGAGAGGCGGACGGUGACGCGCGGAAACAUGGCCGCGACCGAAGUUUUGGUGAAAUGGGCAAAUCUUCCAAGGGAGCUCGCAACAUGGGAAGAUCGUGGGUUCCUCAAAAGCCAAUAUCCAUCUUUUGAUCCUUGAGGACAAGGAUCGACUUAAGUAGGGGGGAUUGUUACACUUGUCAAGUAGUAAAGGAGGAUUAGGAGCAGUAGUAGGAGGUUUAGCUAAAAUAAUGAGAAGAAAGGAGGCUUAGCUUUUCUCUGCUUCAGGUCUCCGGUUGGGGGAAGCGUCGGCCGUCAGCUUGGGAGCGUGGAGGGCGUCGGUAGGGUGAAGGUCGCCGGUGGAGGAGAAAAGGGGUGAGAGAAGCGGGGAGCGAAGAGGUCGAUCCGAGCAAGCCGACAAGGGACUUAGAGCGUUCGACGAGGCGACUCAAGUUCCAGACGGUUCUGGCGGAUUCGGGCGUAUGGCGGAUUCGGGCACAAGGAUGGGAGCGACUGAUCCAAUAUGUCUUGGGAGCGGGCCGGAGAAUAAGCCCAUGUGGGAAUUUGGGCAGCAGAUAGUAGGUUUAGGGAGUUCAAUUAGAAUUAGGGUUUGUUUUAGGUGAAUAAAAGGGGCAGCGUGUAACAGAAGGUUUUUUUUAUGCGAAUUAAUGAAAUUUUCUUCUUCCUCAUCAACUCCUAAUUUCUCUUAAUCUUUCUUCUUCUUCUUAAUUUCCCCAUUCAUCUCCUUCCCUCUGUCUUCCCCCCUCUAUUCUCUCUUCAUCUUCUUUAUUAGAAUAGCUCGAUUCUGAUCUGAUUAAUCCGAGUCAGGC